CUAACCUCUUCAAGUGGAUUAGUCGAAUGAUGAAUCCAACAUAGGCCAAUGUGCUUAUUGGGAGGAGAUCACAGGUUGGGACCUCACCUCUGUCAGGAGGGAGACUUUUUGGUUUUAUAUCGUCUUGGCUAUGAGAAGAGCAGUCAACCACCAAGGAAGUGGAGUGUCAAACCACAAUGUAAAUAUACGCUAGUCAGGCUUUGGGGAUCCACUUAUGUUUUGAGAACCCUUGGUGUGCAUGUGAUGGCCCCAUGUAAGUAACACCUCACGCAGAACACCUGUAGUGGGCCCAAUGAUCCUUUCCAGAAAGUG
rnacentral:lncRNA from 1 species